UGGCUCAGCGGUAGAGUGCUUGCCUUGCAUGCAUGAGGCCCUGGGUUCGAUUCCCCAG
rnacentral:tRNA from 1 species